AAGAGAAGAGAAGAGAAGAGAAAGGUCAUUGCCAUAACCAUCAGAAGAGAGAGUACUUUGGGGGCUGGAUUCAUGUGGUGGCAUUUAUAGAGGGUUCGGUGUCUUCUUCUUCUACGAGCACAUGGGAUGGGGGCUGUCCUUUUAGGUAGGUUGCGAAGAGCAAAGGGUGAACGUGCCGCCAUGUGCUCCACCAGAACGCACCUUAUAUACUUCCAUUCCCCCUUAGAGCUUCUGCUUAAAAGUCAUUAAUUCGAAGUUCUUUAGUUAUCAAAUCCUUUAGAAACUCACUCACUCUAGGACCUAGUUAUUGGGUACAUUUAUUUCCUUCAGGACUGUAUAUGAUCUUUUCUUUUUUCUUACUUUCCGAAUUAAGACUUCGGUUAUUCCAAAUAUUUCCCUCUCCAACUUUCAAUCAUUUUUGUUUGUGGGCUGGCCUCCACAUGCGAAAGGACUGCUUGGGAUGGAUGAGCCUCGGCGCUUUAAUGAGACAGCGGUAGGAGAAAGUUUUGGCUCUUCUGCCCUUCCAACCCUCCCUAAGUGCUUAAAUGGAGGUCGCACAGCUCAAUCCUCGACCAUACUGAAGCUCUUAGGGCUUGGCAAGUUCUCCUUUCUUCGAUGGAGAAGCAGCAAAGAAAUAAGCAAAGACGGGCGUAUUCGGUCAAACCAAAUGCCUUAUCAUGUGCAAACUUCUCGCAGAAGUACAUCAGUUAUCUCUUGCCAGCUCUUCUAAAUGUCACCGAGCAUUGGCUCCUCAGGCAGAAACAAAGAUAAUAACAUCAAGAAGACCAUCAGAUAUGAAGUAGACAUGGCACUAGCACUGUCGACUGGUGAGUUCAGAUGGAGCCGUGCCUUAAGACGCAAACUCGAGCAAGGCAUGGACCCAAGAAAACUUCAUAACACUGCCACACUCGGAACAACCACCAAUAGUACUUUUAAUAUUGAAAUGCUUGGCCAAUUCUUGGCAUGCCCAGGAAUUCCUAGGUCUGUCGAUAAUGCUGAGAACCAGAUGAACUUAAAACCAAAUUCUAAACUAAAUGAAGCAAGCAGGUUGAGAACAAUCGGCCAGCGGCAAGGUGCUCGGAGAGAGGAAAUCAGAAGGGAAGAGGAGAUUGAUGACCACAUGAAGAUACUGAGAUUGCUUUUACCUGGUGGGAAUGAGAUGGGGUUAAGUGAAUUGCUCUCUGAGGUGGAGAGUUACGUGGUAUGUCUGCAGUUGCAGGUGAAUAUUCUUAGGACUCUUGUUGGUCCACACUUAAAUAUUAGUACUCGUGGCCUUGGUCUCAUCAAGGACUAUUUCAUGUUAAAAAGCAAAGUUAUAUACUUUAUUCAUGUUUAUAUUGUGAGCAUGUGAGAGAGUAAAUAGAAUGUGAGAGAUAGGUGGAGACUAUUAUUGCAACUGAGUAGGCUUUCGUUGGCAAGCUACAUUCAACUAUGUACGUACUCAAGUUUGUUUUAGUAAUGAUGGUGCAGCUUUGUAAGUAAUGUGUUAUACCAUUCUCUCCUCUCAAAAAAAAAGAAAAAAGAAUUGUGAUAUCA